rnacentral:rRNA from 1 species
UACGUAGGGGGCAAGCGUUGUCCGGAAUCAUUGGGCGUAAAGCGCGCGUAGGCGGCCCGGUAAGUCCGUUGUGAAAGUCAAAGGCUCAACCUUUGAACGCCGAUGGAUACUGCCGGACUAGAGUCCGGAAGAGGCGAGUGGAAUUCCUGGUGUAGCGGUGGAAUGCGCAGAUAUCAGGAGGAACACCAAUAGCGAAGGCAGCUCGCUGGGACGGUACUGACGCUGAGGCGCGAAAGCGUGGGGAGCGAACAGG